GGGUGGUAAUGCCGGAUGCUCCAGUUGACCGCAUGGUCCUCUGGGAAAGCUUUUGCGGUAUGGGAUGGGGUCGCGUCCUAUCAGCUUGAUGGCGGGGUAACGGCCCACCAUGGCUUCGACGGGUAGCCGGCCUGAGAGGGCGACCGGCCACAUUGGGACUGAGAUACGGCCCAGACUCCUACGGGAGGCAGCAGUGGGGAAUAUUGCACAAUGGGCGCAAGCCUGAUGCAGCGACGCCGCGUGCGGGAUGACGGCCUUCGGGUUGUAAACCGCUUUUGACUGGGAGCAAGCCCUUCGGGGUGAGUGUACCUUUCGAAUAAGCACCGGCUAACUACGUGCCAGCAGCCGCGGUAAUACGUAGGGUGCAAGCGUUAUCCGGAAUUAUUGGGCGUAAAGGGCUCGUAGGCGGUUCGUCGCGUCCGGUGUGAAAGUCCAUCGCUUAACGGUGGAUCCGCGCCGGGUACGGGCGGGCUUGAGUGCGGUAGGGGAGACUGGAAUUCCCGGUGUAACGGUGGAAUGUGUAGAUAUCGGAAAGAACACCA
rnacentral:rRNA from 1 species